UGCCUACGGGGGGCAGCAGUGAGGAAUAUUGGUCAAUGGGCGGGAGCCUGAACCAGCCAAGUCGCGUGAAGGAAGAAGGUACUUAGUAUUGUAAACUUCUUUUGUCGGGGAACAAAGGCGGAGACGCGUCUCCGGAUGAGUGUACCCGAAGAAAAAGCAUCGGCUAACUCCGUGCCAGCAGCCGCGGUAAUACGGAGGAUGCGAGCGUUAUCCGGAUUUAUUGGGUUUAAAGGGUGCGUAGGCGGGACGGUAAGUCAGCGGUAAAAAUGCGGAGCUCAACUCCGUCGAGCCGUUGAACCUGCCGU
rnacentral:rRNA from 1 species